rnacentral:rRNA from 1 species
ACGAACGCUGGCGGCGUGCUUAACACCUGCAAGUCGUACGGUAAGGCCCUUUCGGGGGUACCCGAGUGGCGAACGGGUGAGUAACACGUGAGUAACCUGCCCACAACUUUGGGAUAACGCUAGGAAACUGGUGCUAAUACUGGAUAUGUGCUCCUGCUGCAUGGUGGGGGUUGGAAAGCUCCGGCGGUUGUGGAUGGACUCGCGGCCUAUCAGCUUGUUGGUGGGGUAGUGGCCUACCAAGGCGGCGACGGGUAGCCGGCCUGAGAGGGUGACCGGCCACAUUGGGACUGAGAGACGGCCCAGACUCCUACGGGAGGCAGCAGUGGGGAAUAUUGCACAAUGGGCGCAAGCCUGAUGCAGCAACGCCGCGUGCGGGAUGACGGCCUUCGGGUUGUAAACCGCUUUCAGCAGGGACGAAGCUUUUUGUGACGGUACCUGCAGAAGAAGCACCGGCUAACUACGUG